AUUGAACGCUGGCGGCAGGCUUAACACAUGCAAGUCGAGCGGGGUGAUGGUGCUUGCACUAUCACUUAGCGGCGGACGGGUGAGUAAUGCUUAGGAAUCUGCCUAUUAGUGGGGGACAACAUCUCGAAAGGGAUGCUAAUACCGCAUACGUCCUACGGGAGAAAGCAGGGGAUCACUUGUGACCUUGCGCUAAUAGAUGAGCCUAAGUCGGAUUAGCUAGUUGGUGGGGUAAAGGCCUACCAAGGCGACGAUCUGUAGCGGGUCUGAGAGGAUAAUCAGCCACACUGGGACUGAGACACGGCCCAGACUCCUACGGGAGGCAGCAGUGGGGAAUAUUGGACAAUGGGGGCAACCCUGAUCCAGCAAUGCCGCGUGUGUGAAGAAGGCCUGAGGGUUGUAAAGCACUUUCAGUGGGGAGGAGAGAUAUUUGGUUAAGAGCUGAGUAUUUGGACGUUACCCACAGAAGAAGCACCGGCUAACUCCGUGCCAGCCGCCGCAGUAA
rnacentral:rRNA from 1 species